ACCUAGGUGGCUUAGUUGGUUGAGCAUCUGACUUUGGCUCAGGUUAUGAUUUCAUAGUUUGUGGGUUCGAGCCCCAUGUCAGGCU
rnacentral:tRNA from 1 species